CCUACGGGCGGCAGCAGUGGGGAAUAUUGGGCAAUGGGCGCAAGCCUGAACCAGCAACGCCGCGUGAAGGAAGAAGGCUUUCGGGUUGUAAACUUCUUUUGACCGGGAAGAGUAGAAGACGGUACCUGUCGAAUAAGCCACGGCUAACUACGUGCCAGCAGCCGCGGUCAUCCGUAAGUGGCAAGCGUUGUCCGGAUUUACUGGGUGUAAAGGGCGUGCUGCCGGAGAGACAAGUCAGAUGUGAAAUCCACGGGCUCAACCCGUGAACUGCAUUUGAAACUGUUUCCCUUGAGUGGCGGAGAGGUAAGCGGAAUGCGUGGUGUAGCGGUGAAAUGCGUAGAUAGAAGGAAGAACACCAGUGGCGAAGGCGGAUUACUGGACGAUAACUGACGGUGAGGCGCGAAAGCGUGGGGAGCAAACAGGAUUAGAUACCCCGGUAGUC
rnacentral:rRNA from 1 species